CGAAUGCUGACAUAAGUAACGAUAAAGCGGGUGAAAAGCCCGCUCGCCGGAAGACCAAGGGUUCCUGUCCAACGUUAAUCGGGGCAGGGUGAGUCGACCCCUAAGGCGAGGCCGAAAGGCGUAGUCGAUGGGAAACAGGUUAAUAUUCCUGUACUUGGUGUUACUGCGAAGGGGGGACGGAGAAGGCUAUGUUGGCCGGGCGACGGUUGUCCCGGUUUAAGCGUGUAGGCUGGUUUUCCAGGCAAAUCCGGAAAAUCAAGGCUGAGGCGUGAUGACGAGGCACUACGGUGCUGAAGCAACAAAUGCCCUGCUUCCAGGAAAAGCCUCUAAGCAUCAGGUAACAUCAAAUCGUACCCCAAACCGACACAGGUGGUCAGGUAGAGAAUACCAAGGCGCUUGAGAGAACUCGGGUGAAGGAACUAGGCAAAAUGGUGCCGUAACUUCGGGAGAAGGCACGCUGAUAUGUAGGUGAAGUCCCUCGCGGAUGGAGCUGAAAUCAGUCGAAGAUA
rnacentral:rRNA from 1 species